GACGAACGCUGGCGGCGUGCUUAACACAUGCAAGUCGAACGGAAAGGCCCUGCUUUUGCGGGGUGCCCGAGUGGCGCACGGGUGAGUAACACGUGAGUAACCUGCCCUUGACUUUGGGAUAACCUCAGGAAACUGGGGAUAAUACCGGAUAGGAGCUCCUGCUGCAUGGUGGGGGUUGGAAAGUUUCGGCGGUUGUGGAUGGACUCGCGGCUUAUCAGCUUGUUGGUGGGGUAGUGGCUUACCAAGGCUUAGACAGGUAGCCGGCCUGAGAGUGUGACCAGCGACAAUGCGACUAAGGUACGGCGCAGACGCCAACGGUAGGCAGCAGGCGAGAAUAUUACACAAUGGGCGGAAGCCUGUGACAGCAACGCCGCGUGCGGGAAGACGGCCUUCGGGUUGUAAACCGCUUUCGCCUGUGACGAAGCGGGAGUGACGGUAAUGGGUAAAGAAGCACCGGCUAACUACGUG
rnacentral:rRNA from 1 species